ACGGAGGGAGCUAGCGUUGUUCGGAAUUACUGGGCGUAAAGCGUACGUAGGCGGUGAUUCAAGUCAGAGGUGAAAGCCUGGAGCUCAACUCCAGAACUGCCUUUGAAACUAGAUCGCUAGAAUCAUGGAGAGGUGAGUGGAAUUCCGAGUGUAGAGGUGAAAUUCGUAGAUAUUCGGAAGAACACCAGUGGCGAAGGCGGCUCACUGGACAUGUAUUGACGCUGAGGUACGAAAGCGUGGGGAGCAAACAGGAUUAGAUACCCUGGUAGUCCACGCCGUAAACGAUGAUAACUAGCUGCCAGGGUUCACAGAACUUUGGUGGCGCAGCUAACGCAUUAAGUUAUCCGCCUGGGGAGUACGGUCGCAAGAUUA
rnacentral:rRNA from 1 species